rnacentral:miRNA from 1 species
GCCGGCGGCGGCGGCGAC